rnacentral:rRNA from 1 species
UUAUAAUAAAGAUUAGUUAAUAAAAGAUUAGAUGUGAUCAUUAAAUUUAAAAAAUUUGGCGGUAUUUUAAAUAGUUAGAGGAACUUGUUAAUUAAAUGAUAGCCCACGAGCAGAGUGUCCUAUUGAAGUUUUUAUGUAUUGUUGUAUAAAAAUUAUUUUAUGAGAAUUAUAAUUGAGAUAUUUAUUUUAAUUUGAAUUCAAAUCAAAAUGUAGAAUUAUUAGGUUAAAAUGAGUUACAAUUUAAUUUAAUAUGGGAAUUAUUUUUUUAAUAUUAAUAAUUAAGUAGGAUUUAAAAGUAAAUUUAAAAAUUUUUUUAAAUUGAAAUAUAAAUUAAAAUA